rnacentral:rRNA from 1 species
UCGAGCGAACAGACGAGGAGCUUGCUUCUCUGACGUUAGCGGCGGACGGGUGAGUAACACGUGGAUAACCUACCUAUAAGACUGGGAUAACUUCGGGAAACCGGAGCUAAUACCGGAUAAUAUAUUGAACCGCAUGGUUCAAUAGUGAAAGACGGUUUUGCUGUCACUUAUAGAUGGAUCCGCGCCGCAUUAGCUAGUUGGUAAGGUAACGGCUCACCAAGGCAGCGAUGCGUAGCCGACCUGAGAGGGUGAUCGGCCACACUGGAACUGAGACACGGUCCAGACUCCUACGGGAGGCAGCAGUAGGGAAUCUUCCGCAAUGGGCGAAAGCCUGACGGAGCAACGCCGCGUGAGUGAUGAAGGUCUUCGGAUCGUAAAACUCUGUUAUUAGGGAAGAACAAAUGUGUAAGUAACUAUGCACGUCUUGACGGUACCUAAUCAGAAAGCCGCGGCUAACUACGUGCCAGCAGCCGCGGUAAUACGUAGGUGGCAAGCGUUAUCCGGAAUUAUUGGGCGUAAAGCGCGCGUAGGCGAUUUUUUAAGUCUGAUGUGAAAGCCCACGGCUCAACCGUGGAGGGUCAUUGGAAACUGGAAAACUUGAGUGCAGAAGAGGAAAGUGGAAUUCCAUGUGUAGCGGUGAAAUGCGCAGAGAUAUGGAGGAACACCAGUGGCGAAGGCGACUUUCUGGUCUGUAACUGACGCUGAUGUGCGAAAGCGUGGGGAU